rnacentral:rRNA from 1 species
UACGUAGGGGGCAAGCGUUGUCCGGAUUUAUUGGGCGUAAAGAGCUCGUAGGCGGUUUGGUAAGUCAGGUGUGAAAUCUCCACGCUCAACGUGGAGGGGCCACCUGAUACUGCCAUGACUGGAGUCCGGUAGAGGAGUGUGGAAUUCCCGGUGUAGCGGUGAAAUGCGUAGAUAUGUGGAGGAACACCGAUGGCGAAGGCAGCCCCCUGGGUCAACACUGACGCUCAUGCACGAAAGCGUGGGGAGCAAACAGG